GGAGCCGGGCUCCGCCAUCGACAGCAGUACAGCUCCGCCCGGACUCCUACGGGAGCUGGGCUCCGACCUCAAUAUCAGCUGCUGGUAAGCUUCGUCCGGACUCCUACGGGAGCCGGACUUCAUCUUUAACUUUGAUUGCAGAGGGUUCUGACUCUUACAGGAGCCGAACUCCACCCACGACCUCAACCGAAAGGAGGACCCCUCCCGGACUCCUACAGAGGCCGAACUCCGACCACUGCCGAGCCUCGAUCAACAGAUCCACGCCCCCUGGCAGAUCACAAUAACAACCAUGAUCCUGCUCCGCUUCCUGUGGCGGACUCCGCGCAGUUCCAUCAUUCCCUGACAGGCCGCAGUAACCAUCGCCACCCUGCUCCACUCCCUGUGGCAGAUUCCGCACAGCUCCACUACCCCCUGGCAGGCCACAAUAACGGCCACGAACCUGCUCCACCUCCUGCGGCGGAUACCAGGCGAUUCCCCCAUCCACUGGCGA
rnacentral:lncRNA from 1 species